AGGACGAACGCUUGCGGCGUGCCUAAGAAAUGCAAGUCGAACGGGGGUUCAGCAAUGUUCCCUAGUGGCGAACGGUCGCGUAACACGUAGGCAACCUGCCCUGAAGUGGGGGACAACGGUCCGAAAGGACCGCUAAUACCGCAUGUGGUCGCUGGAAGGCAUCUUUCAGCGUCCAAAGCAUUUAUGCGCUUCAGGAUGGGCUUGCGGCCUAUCAGGUAGUUGGUGGGGUAACGGCCUACCAAGCCGACGACGGGUAGCUGGUCUGAGAGGACGAUCAGCCGGAUUGGGACUGAGAUACGGCCCAGACUCCUACGGGGGGCAGCAAUUAGGAAUCUUGCGCAAUGGGGGAAACCCUGACGCAGCGACGCCGCGUGCGGGAUGAAGGCAUUCGUGUCGUAAACCGCUUUUACCAGGGUAAGAAGAAUGUGACGGUACCUGGUGAAUAACGCCCCGGCUAACUACGUGCCAGCACGCCGC
rnacentral:rRNA from 1 species